UACAGAGGGUGCAAGCGUUAAUCGGAGUUACUGGGCGUAAAGAGCACGUAGGCGGUUGAUUAAGUCAGUUGUGAAAGCCCUGGGCUUAACCUGGGAACUGCAAAUGAUACUGGUUAACUAGAGUCGAAGAGAGGGAAGCGGAAUUUCCGGUGUAGCGGUGAAAUGCGUAGAUAUCGGAAGGAACAUCAGUGGCGAAGGCGGCUUCCUGGCUUCAGACUGACGCUGAGGUGCGAAAGCGUGGGGAGCAAACAGG
rnacentral:rRNA from 1 species